rnacentral:rRNA from 1 species
AUUUUUUCCUGUAGCAAUACAGGGAAAAGUCUAGUGGCGAACGGGUGCGUAACACGUGGGCAAUCUGCCUUAAAGUGGGGGAUAGCUCGGCGAAAGCCGAAUUAAUACCGCAUGUGAUCAGGGGAGACAUCUUCCCGAAAUCAAAAGUGGCGCAAGCUACUGCUUUUUGAGGAGCCCGCGGCCUAUCAGCUAGUUGGCGAGGUAACGGCUCACCAAGGCUUUGACGGGUAGCUGGUCUGAGAGGACGACCAGUCACACUGGAACUGAGACACGGUCCAGACACCUACGGGUGGCAGCAGUCGAGAAUUUUUCUCAAUGGGGGAAACCCUGAAGGAGCGACGCCGCGUGGAGGAUGAAGGUCUUCGGGUUGUAAACUCCUGUCAUUUGGGAACAAGUGUCGGUACCUAACUGCUACCGGCUUGAUAGUACCAGAAGAGGAAGGGACGGCUAACUCUGUGCCAGCAGCCGCGGUAAUACAGAGGUCUCAAGCGUUGUUCGGAUUCAUUGGGCGUAAAGGGUGUGUAGGUGGCGCCGUAAGUCGGGUGUGAAAUUUCGGAGCUUAACUCCGAAACUGCAUUCGAUACUGCGGUGCUUGAGGACUGGAGAGGAGACUGGAAUUCAUGGUGUAGCAGUGAAAUGCGUAGAGAUCAUGAGGAAGACCAGUGGCGAAGGCGGGUCUCUGGACAGUUCCUGACACUGAGACACGAAGGCCAGGGGAGCAAACGGGAUUAGAUACCCCGGUAGUCCUGGCAGUAAACGGUGCACGUUUGGUGUGGGGAGGAUUCGACCCCUUCUGCGCCGGAGCUAACGCGUUAAACGUGCCGCCUGGGGAGUACGGUCGCAAGAUU